GAUGAACGCUGGCGGCGUGCCUAAUACAUGCAAGUCGAGCGAAUGGACGAGAAGCUUGCUUCUCUGAUGUUAGCGGCGGACGGGUGAGUAACACGUGGAUAACCUACCUAUAAGACUGGGAUAACUUCGGGAAACCGUAGCUAAUACCGGAUAAUAUUUUGAACCGCAUGGUUCAAAAGUGAAAGACGGUCUUGCUGUCACUUAUAGAUGGAUCCGCGCUGCAUUAGCUAGUUGGUAAGGUAACGGCUUACCAAGGCAACGAUGCAUAGCCGACCUGAGAGGGUGAUCGGCCACACUGGAACUGAGACACGGUCCAGACUCCUACGGGAGGCAGCAGUAGGGAAUCUUCCGCAAAGGGCGAAAGCCUGGCGGAGCAACGCCGCGUGAGUGAUGAAGGUCUUCGGAUCGUAAAACUCUGUUAUUAGGGAAGAACAUAUGUGUAAGUAACUGUGCACAUCUUGACGGUACCUAAUCAGAAAGCCACGGCUAACUACGUG
rnacentral:rRNA from 1 species